GCCCGCUUGGCACAGCGGUAAUGCGCCUCACUAGUAUGUAUCCCUACUAUUGAGAAGGCUAUGAGGAGAUGACUGGUUCGACUCCAGUAGUGGGCA
rnacentral:tRNA from 1 species